AAGUCAGAGGUUCUGGGGGAGGGCCAUGUUAGCUCACAAGCUUCCCAUAAGAGACGUGAGGCUGUCCUGGGUCUUCUCUGAAGCUUGGUCCUCCCUCUCCCCUACCCUGCUCCCUUUUUCUCCUUCCACAAGUGUGGAUCCCAAGACACUCUUUGAUAAACUCCCUUCGUGUUAACCUAUCAGACUCAGCUUCCCCAGAAACCAGCCUCAACGGGGGUCCCUCCACACCCACUGUUUCUUAAUGUGUGUGGUUACCACAAGAGACCCACCGAGGCUGAGAGCCCAGUGUGAGGACCCGCAGGCCAUAGGUGGAGACUGGUUGCUAAACACGGAAUUUUUUUCCAACAAAAGUGCUGAUGGAUUCUGAGGCAGAGACAGGACUUUGUCCUGUGGGGUGGCAGUCACAUACAGGACAAAGAUGGAAAGACUUCAGCCCAACUGCUUUUAGGAGGAUUGGUCUUUGGUUCUGACAGGUUUUCCCAAGGACAGAACAAAGACAGAUGUGCUGACGGUGGGACUGAGGGUUCACCACGGAUCUUUAUAAACAGAAGAGGGUCAAGGUCCACUGUGAAGAUGGGCUUCAAAAGUGAACUGCCUCACCACGAGAGCCCGACCUGGUUUGCACAAUGGGGAGCUCUUUCCUCUUGCCUGGUGAUGUGUUCAGUGUGGCUGUCCUGGUAACAACCUCAGAAGAAGACAAUGGUAUCCCUCUUCCACAGAUGAGAACACUGAGGCUGAGAGAGAUGGCUUGACCCAUCCACAGGCACACAGAGGAAGUGCAGCCUUGUGAUUUGCCGCUGGACAGUUGGCCGGGUCUUCCUCUCCUAACCUCCACGGAGGAAUAGCACCUCCCCUACAGGCCGUCAGGGACUGCUCUACGUCAGGCAACAGCAGGCCUGGCAAGCCUGGCACACAGGAAGUGCCCAGAAAAACUACCAGGCAUUCCUUCUGUAUUUGGGAAAUGGCAGUAGAGAACACCGUCUGGCCAAUGCGAUUAGCCUGGUUUGGUGUAGGACUUGAGAAAUGUGUGAUGUUCUGGUGGACCGAUUCCAGGAAACUGCCGAUCAGGAGGGCAUGUAGAAGGUUCGGGUCCCCAAAGUGGAAAUAUGUAAAGGCUAAAUCACCCCAGAACCACAUGCAGCUGCCAUUAGCAUUAACGAGAGUGGCUCAUGUGUGAGUGCACCGUGCGACCCUCCACGGGGAAGAGGGGCCUGGCCGUUCCAGAUCACAGAGUCCUCACAGCUGCACCCCCACUGGUAACGAACCAGGAGAACCAGGAGAUGCUGCUGUCUUACGCAAGUGCACAUCGCACCCAUCAACAGCCCUGCCGGGGACACAGACCCGAGAUGCAGAAGCGCAUCGGUAUUCCUCUAGCACCUCUCCAGCAAACCGAGACAACAUUAAGAAACGAAUGGACAUCGCAAGUUAUGUUGACUCAGAAACACGCACGAUGAAAGCGUGUGCCUUUGCCAAAGCCCUUCUGGCUCAGUCUCUAUUUAGGUAUAUUGUUUACUAUUUAAGCGCUGAUUAAUUUACAUGUUUUUCUUUCUCUCUAUGACUCACAAUUACUCCACAGCAAGUACAAUUUACGAAAAUGCAACAUUAACUAAAUAGGAUUGGUGUAAACAUAAUGAACCCACGGAAGAUAGGUUUUACUAUUUGCUCAAUGAACGGUCUUCAGUAUCUCUAAAUUAGAUUGAACAACGUCCAUGACUUUUGGGAAUACUUAAGGAAAUCAAAGCUAGAAACGAGUGCACUAGUUUUGCUCAGAUCCAAAGCUUUGUCACCGCUUUCCUGUACUCCCUGUUUGUCACUAAAUGCAAACAGAUCUUUGGAACUUUUUGCCUCUAAAAGACAAAGGAGACAGAUGAUUUCAUGACUUACAUGGAAUGCCCACCACACAGCACUGGACGGGGGAGAUGGAAGGCCAAACUCUUUCCCCCACUAACUGUCAGUGCAGGGGCUUAACCUAGAAGGAGAAACAGCAAAGCUGCUGCCCACCUGCUCCCUGCUCAAGAAGGUGCGGCAUGGCUACUACUGAAUCCCUAUUUUAUGGAUGAGCAAGUUGAGGUCGGAGAAGUUAAAGGUCUACAGUGAGCAACUGCUGGAGAGAGAACCCCAGAUCAAGGCAGUCUCUCCAAAGAGCCUGUGUGCGCCCCAUGGCAUCCCAGACGCUUCUGUCAGCUGGACGUGAUCCGCGUAGACAGCUGGCUGCUCCGUAUGCAGGAGCCCCUCCGUGCCCACGCCGCACAUGAACACAAACUUACUAAAAGGCUUUUACUUCCUGUGUUCGUUUUUAAAUCCUUAACGUCAGUGCAACAGCAGCCUCUCUCUUAAGUUAGGAUGCCAUUUUCACUCUGGACUUCCAGUUGCAAACGUUUUAAUUUUCCACCAAGAUAUUGUUCCAGGACUGCGAUUUUCUGAUUAUUCUUGAUUCCUCUUGCCACAGGAAUGAUGAAGCAACACCCCUAUUUUAAGGAAGGAAAAGUGCUUCAGAAAAGAAAGAAAUGGUAUUUACCUACUUUACAGAUGUGUCCCACCCGGAAAGGACUAUGGCAUGGCGGGGGGAAGCGGGGGGACAAGGAGAGUGGCUUGGUUGUAGAGGUCAGUGCGACUACCUGACCUCACUGCUCCAGAACCCAAGCUGGGCGGCCUGAUACGAGCCACCUGGUCUGCCAUUGGCACUCAGGCUCCUAUUUACAGAAGUUGUCAUAACAGCCACCUUGAGACUCUUGUUUUGCAUAAGUAGGAUAAAAGUUGUGAAGUUAUUUUUAAGGAGAAAAGUCCUUAAAAUUGGACAUACCAGAAUUCACACAAAAAAAAUAGGUUUAAGUCAUUCGCGAAUAAUUCAGCUAAUUAAAACAUGUAUAGCUGACAGUUGCAAAGGACUUCAAACUUUUCAAACUUUACUCAGUAGUUGGGCUGAUGAUAGCACCUUUAUUCUUCUGAAAAAACUAAAAAUCAAGCAGACCAAGUAUUAUUGUUAUUAUAAAUAUUCCUGUUCUCACAGUGACUACCCAGACCCCUUGGGCAGUGAGUGAGAGGAAGUGUUAUCCGGGCUUCUGAUUUUUUUUUUUUUCAAUUUAAUAACUUACACAUACAAGUGAUACUAAUGAGACAAGGGUAAUUCCAAAAGCUUAAUGAGGGAGACUUGGUGUGUAAUCUACAUCUACUGAAGAGAACAGAGUAUAAAAAUGACAAAAAUAUAAGUCAGCAAGGAUACUGUGACUAGCAUCUAGCCUUAACCAUAAGUUAGCAAUGUCAUAAAGAGAAAGAAAAUGUGAUGAACUCAAUCUUGUGGUAACCAAAGUAUGGAUUUAAAGAAAGCCAGCAGUCUCUACAGAACAUAAUAAAAAGAGGUCUCCUGUGCCGUAAGCUUUCUUCGUGACACCUCUCAGGGGUCCAGAUGUUUAGCGUGUGCAGGAGCAAUACCUGUUAUUUGGGCAGAAAUAAUCUGAAUUGAAAUGAGACAAUGUUCAUGAACAUAGCUUGAUAGAACUAAUCUUUCAGAAGAUCUAACUUCUUCAUUGAAAGCUGUCUUAAACUCUUUACGAGCAACAAAAAAUAAUAGGAUGCCUCUAAUUGCAAGCAUCCAUUAAAAACAAAACCUGGCCUCCUAGAUUAAUUUAAAAUGAAAGUGUGGUUUACCAUCCAAUGAAUAUCCCAUGGUAAAUUCAUGAUCCUCUCCUAUUCUGGUCAAUAAAUGAGUCAG